rnacentral:lncRNA from 1 species
GUGCACCAGGUUAUGCGCUUUUUGGACCAAUAUUGUUUUGAAUGGAGGCCAUGGUGCUGUCAUAGGCCGCAAUGGCGUGUUUAUUGGGGUUUUCUGCCAUAUUCCACACAACACUGUUUUGAAUAAAUAGGUUCUAUCUUUAUAGAACAGAGAUGUUACCUUUACGAACCGAACUGUAUCUUGACUAACCGAGAUGCCCCCAUAGGCUUGGUUUGUGUGUGUAGUACGCGGUAACAAUUUCCAGAUUUCAAUUUGAGUAUUAUGUUUUUCCAGAAUUGUGGGCAUACAGGAGUAAAGAGCAACAUCGGCAAAUUUAUUGGAUAGCCGUCAACUUAUUCUAGUCACUUAGUUGUUUGCUUCAUUAUGUGAAUACUUGUUCUCAAUUUAAAGCACUUAUGAAAGUUUAAAGUUUCUCUUUCAAAUCAUCAAAUACUGAG